UUUUAGGUUGACUUGCUGUUGGUGGUGUACGAGGAUUUCGGCGGUUCUGACAUAAUAAAAUAAUUGUAGGACAUCUUCUGGUACUGUAUCACUAAUACUUAUCCUACUGGACUGCACCUAGACUUUCUACGCUCUGGUUAGGAGUAUUUACACAUGUAUCUCAUUCUUAGCACUUCCUGGUUAUUAGUGCACAUUAGUAGCUUUCGGUUUUUAUUUAUUCGUAUAUUUCUUAUCUUAAUUGCUUCCGCACUAUGCACAUGGCU
rnacentral:lncRNA from 1 species